rnacentral:rRNA from 1 species
GUGGGGAAUAUUGGACAAUGGGCGAAAGCCUGAUCCAGCCAUGCCGCGUGUGUGAAGAAGGUCUUCGGAUUGUAAAGCACUUUAAGUUGGGAGGAAGGGCAGUAAGUUAAUACCUUGCUGUUUUGACGUUACCGACAGAAUAAGCACCGGCUAACUUCGUGCCAGCAGCCGCGGUAAUACGAAGGGUGCAAGCGUUAAUCGGAAUUACUGGGCGUAAAGCGCGCAUAGGUGGUUUUGUAAGUUGGAGGUGAAAUCCCCGGGCUCAACCUGGGAACUGACUCCAAAACUGCAUGACUAGAGUACGGUAGAGGGUAGUGGAAUUUCCUGUGUAGCGGUGAAAUGCGUAGAUAUAGGAAGGAACACCAGUGGCGAAGGCGACUACCUGGACUGAUACUGACACUGAGGUGCGAAAGCGUGGGGAGCAAACAGGAUUAGAAACCUGUGUAGUCC